CUUCAAGGAAUGGAGCAAACGGCGGAGCAGGGAUACUUUGGCCGGUUUCAUCUACUCCGCCUCUAAGUCCAAAUCAACAGGAUGUCGGUUUCUUUGAGGCUUUAGCACGAAUUUCUCGUCCUCCUUGUUAAAUUUUUGUUAAAUUCACAAUAUUAUAUACCAUUAGCCCGGGCGCUGUUCUUCCCAUUUCUGAAUUUAUAAAAGUAAAUUGGCACCAACUGCCUUUUUCUCAAUUCCCAUAUCAAACAAAAAAACGCACCUGCCCUUUGGCCUGUGCAUUUUUAU
rnacentral:sRNA from 1 species